rnacentral:lncRNA from 1 species
CCUGUUAGGAAGUUUCUGCAAGAACCCAGGUCCUCCUUCCCACCAGACAUGAGGAUUUUAACUUGAUCAUCUCUGCAAAGACCUUAUCUUCAAAUACAGUUACAUUCUGAAGUCCUGGGGGUUAGGGCUGCAACACCCGAAUUGGUGGAGACAAAAUCCAGCUCCUGACAAUACCGCGUAUGAUAGCUGCGUCUCUGCCUGCAGUACUGUUUUCCAGGGAAAGCAUCUUUGAGUGUAUUCAGAAAGCCUCUCUCUGGGGCCAGGCCUUGCAGAGAAUCCUUCAGAAACUGGACAACCCCACCCAAGGCAGUCAGUGGGGAGGACACAUUUGGUGCCUCAUUGGUCCCUGGAUCUGCCUCACAGUCCUCAAUGUUCCUCCUCGUUCCCUCUACUCUUUCUCCUCUUUGGUUGACCUUGAAGCUCAUUCCUGGUGAAGGCCCCGUGGGAGCAGUGCAAUGACAAGAGGAGCCUGUUUUCAAUAGCACCCUCACGCUCUCCAGGGGUCCAUUGGAGGCGCCUAUGACCUCCUGAUGCUGAGGAGCCUAGAGUGGGCAGCCCUCGGGCCCAGGCUCCACCUGGGUGAGGCCUGUUUUAUUAUCAAUACUCACCACAGUCAUUUGUGGGAGUGUAAUGCUCAUAUUCCCAUUUAAGAGAUGAAUAAACUGAGGCAAGGUGAAGUGACUCAGCUGAGGCCACACCACAGUUUAAUGGGGAAGCCAGGAUAAGAGCUGGCGGCUUCUAUGUCUGAUCUACACUCUGAUGGGAGGUCGUCAGAGAGCCAUGUAAACGGUGAGGAGGUGACAUGCUGGUCCCUUCCAUAAAAGCUGUUUUGCAAAAUUAAAACACACACACAGUAAAGAUCCAGAUUUAUGCAAGUGAGAGUGAGGGGCUGACUAUUUACCAGUCAACAGAUCUCCCCAAAUGGUUCUCUGCUUGGGGUUGAGAUGCUCCUGACCAGCAGGGCUUGGGGAGAGACAUUCUUGCUCCCCCUAGAGCUGGCUGACCCAUACCCAGGGGAUUCUGAGCACCAGGGGCUGGGAGCAGCAUGUACCACGUGUUUCCCAAG